rnacentral:rRNA from 1 species
UACGUAGGGCGCAAGCGUUAUCCGGAAUUAUUGGGCGUAAAGAGCUCGUAGGCGGUUUGUCGCGUCUGCUGUGAAAUCCCGAGGCUCAACCUCGGGUCUGCAGUGGGUACGGGCAGACUGGAGUGCGGUAGGGGAGACUGGAAUUCCUGGUGUAGCGGUGAAAUGCGCAGAUAUCAGGAGGAACACCGAUGGCGAAGGCAGGUCUCUGGGCCACUACUGACGCUGAGAAGCGAAAGCAUGGGGAGCGAACAGG